rnacentral:rRNA from 1 species
AUCCCCCACACUGGUACUGAGACACGGACCAGACUCCUACGGGAGGCAGCAGUAAGGAAUAUUGGUCAAUGGAGGGAACUCUGAACCAGCCAUGCCGCGUGCAGGAUGACUGCCCUAUGGGUUGUAAACUGCUUUUGUCCAGGAAUAACCACCACUACGUGUAGUGGCUUGAAUGUACUGGAAGAAUAAGGAUCGGCUAACUCCGUGCCAGCAGCCGCGGUAAUACGGAGGAUCCGAGCGUUAUCCGGAUUUAUUGGGUUUAAAGGGUGCGUAGGCGGCUCAUUAAGUCAGGGGUGAAAGACGGCAGCUCAACUGUCGCAGUGCCUUUGAUACUGAUGAGCUUGAAUGUGGUUGAAGAUGGCGGAAUGAGACAAGUAGCGGUGAAAUGCAUAGAUAUGUCUCAGAACUCCGAUUGCGAAGGCAGCUGUCUAAGUCAUUAUUGACGCUGAUGCACGAAAGCGUGGGGAUCGAACAGGAUUAGAUACCCUGGUAGUCCACGCCCUAAACGAUGAUAACUCGAUGUUGGCGAUACACAGUCAGCGUCUUAGCGAAAGCGUUAAGUUAUCCACCUGGGGAGUACGCCCGCAAGGGUGAAACUCAAAGGAAUUGACGGGGGCCCGCACAAGCGGAGGAGCAUGUGGUUUAAUUCGAUGAUACGCGAGGAACCUUACCCGGGCUUGAAAGUUACUGAAUUAUCUAGAGAUAGAUAAGUCCUUCGGGACAGGAAACUAGGUGCUGCAUGGCUGUCGUCAGCUCGUGCCGUGAGGUGUUGGGUUAAGUCCCGCAACGAGCGCAACCCCUAUGUUUAGUUGCCAGCAUGUAAUGAUGGGGACUCUAAACAGACUGCCAGCGUAAGCUGUGAGGAAGGUGGGGACGACGUCAAGUCAUCAUGGCCCUUACGUCCGGGGCUACACACGUGCUACAAUGGAUGGUACAGCGGGCAGCUACCUGGUAACAGGAUGCUAAUCUCGAAAAGCCAUUCACAGUUCGGAUUGAGGUCUGCAACUCGACCUCAUGAAGUUGGAUUCGCUAGUAAUCGCGUAUCAGCAAUGACGCGGUGAAUACGUUCCCGGGCCUUGUACACACCGCCCGUCAAGCCAUGAAAGUUGGGGGUGCCUAAAGCAUGAACCGCAAGGAGCGUUUAGGAAAC